AUUAAAAUACAUAGUAAUUAAUCAAAAUUAAUUUUUGAACACAACUUUCUUUCUCUUUCUUUAUCACCGUCUUACUCACUCUCUGAAUCUAUAUGGCUCUCUCUUAUCUUCAUCUUCAUCCAGAUCUAUAGAUGCAAUCAUCGGAUCUCACCUCUUUAUCACGUCAUAGCCUCUGAUGAAGAUGUAAUGGUUCCAUUAUCGUCUUCAAUCGAUUGUAUCAGACGAUGUAGUAAGAAGAUUCAUUAUCUGUAUUUUUCUCGUGACAUCGUGGUUCACUGAUCAAUCAAAGUUCCGCCUGUAUUGAGAAAUUCCUCAGCCACUACCGCCGGAGAUAUUUCAUCUUGUUUAGGUCUCUACCGAUGUGUCUGUCUCAUAUACACGAUAGAUAAGAAGUGUUGAUCUGCUCAAACCAGAAGUUUCGAUGUCUUUUAGGUAACAUAAGUUUUUUUUUUCUCCUUUUGUUCAAUUAAUUCAUUCCAAGAAACGAAUUUAUCUUCGAAUUUCCUUUUGUUAGAUUUCUGAUGUUGUGUAGUCUCAUCAUUCACGUUCACAAAUCUCUCACAUUCCUUCCUCCUAUCAUCGCCUCGCCUUCUAAUGUUGUCGCCUCAUCCCCUAUCGAUCGCCUGGUUCUCAUAGUGCUUGUGUCGAUGUCUUAUAAAUCUUCUAUUCGUUUUGGUUUUUAAUUGGGGAUAUGUAUUCUCGAUUGAGAUCCAAUAGGCUUAUUGUUCUAAUUAGUUGGUCGGAAAUUAUGGAUAUGGUGGUGAUCACAUGGAGAUGUCAAAACAAGGACAAAAUCAAUCUCUAGUUUAUAUGAGAAAAUGAAAGAAUUAAGAGGUUGCAUCAUUUGAAAUUCGAGGUUCACAUUUUUCAUAUCAACUCAACCUCAUGAUUUCAAGCAAUUGUGAAAAGUACCAAAAACCUUGGAUUAGUUUUUUUUAGGUGAUUGUUAUUUUCUUCUGGUAAUGUAUGGCAUUUAUACUAUAUUCAUCAUUGUUCCUUAAUUGAUGAUAUUUGUGCAUAUACAUGAUUUUCUAUUAUAGUCGAUGGUGAUGUGUGUGCAUUACCUUGAUGAAUAUUUGUAUUCA